GAAGGGCUGCUGGAGCGCGGCCAGAGCGGACGCCGAGGCCGAGGAGGCGCCGAGAGCGAGUGAGAGCUGCUAGCCAGUUGUCACCUCUCACAGAGAGGUCCACAUUUGCUGAAAUGUAACUCUUAUCUCAUGCACUGGGAGUGAUGAACUUCACUAGGAAAUCAUCGUUCUUUCUGGUAAGUCACCACAGCACAAAACUGCAACCAUUGUUUAGUAACAACUAGACUCUGAUAGAUGCUGUGGAGAAUUUGACUAGAAGUAGGAGGAUCAUUUACUACAUGGCAAAAAAACAAAUCAGUCUAUCUUAGAAAGGUUAAAAUUUACAUGGAUAAUAAAGAAAGGAAGGUAGAAGAAGAGUGAUAAAUUAGUGAGAAAAGAACAGUAGGUGUAAUUAUAGCAAUAUGCUUAAAUGAAAGAGAAAAAUAUGGCAGAAGCAUUUAUUGAUUUGAGAUUGUAAUUUUUUUAAAUAAAAAAGCUUAGUCUGGAUUCCAACUUGUAUAUAAAAUUAGGAGCAAAGGUAUGAUUAAUAUGUUCAUGGAAUAUAAUUAUCAAGAAACCACAGACAUUUGUGUAUGGAGGACACAGAAAGGUGAGAACUUGCUAACAGGAAUCCCAUUAAAGAAGCUUCAGAAUUUGAAGAUCAGCAAAGAGAAGGAAGAGAUGAGAAUGAAAGGCUUUAUGAAGGAAUGAAAUGACAGUCAUUGCAUUUAUUGAUGUAUCUGUAUUUAAACAUAAGUAUAUUUAUUUAUAUUUGAACAUAACAGUUUUCUAGCAAAAUUAAUAAGGAUUAUGCUACAGACAUACUCAGUUACGAUCUUAGAGGGAUUCUGAGAACUCUUUGAUAGGUUAUUUACUUAUAGUUUGUCAGUAGUUUCUAAACAUUUUUGGAUGGACAUCUCUAUAAGUAAUAAUAUUUGAGCAAGUAAACUUCAGUACUAUAUUUGUUUAUAUGUACACAAUUUUUCUAAUAUAUAAUUUAAAAAUACCUACUAAAAUUGAUGAGAUAAGAUGAAUGUAAACAGAAUUUUUAAUAAAUUAUUUCUACCACAGCA
rnacentral:lncRNA from 1 species